rnacentral:rRNA from 1 species
UACAGAGGUCUCAAGCGUUGUUCGGAUUCAUUGGGCGUAAAGGGUGCGUAGGUGGCGGGGCAAGUCUGGUGUGAAAUCUCGGAGCUCAACUCCGAAACUGCACUGGAUACUGCCUUGCUCGAGUACUGGAGAGGAGAUUGGAAUUUACGGUGUAGCAGUGAAAUGCGUAGAUAUCGUAAGGAAGACCAGUGGCGAAGGCGAAUCUCUGGACAGUUACUGACACUGAGCACGAAGGCCAGGGGAGCAAACGGG